AGUGAAUAGAUACCCGGGUAGUCCACGCCGUAAACGAUGUCUGCUAGCCGUUGGGAUCCUUGAGGUCUCGGUGGCGCAGCUAACGCGAUAAGCAGACCGCCUGGGGAGUACGGCCGCAAGGUUAAAACUCAAAUGAAUUGACGGGGGCCCGCACAAGCGGUGGAGCAUGUGGUUUAAUUCGAUGCAACGCGAAGAACCUUACCAGGUCUUGACAUCCAGAGAACUUUCCAGAGAUGGAUUGGUGCCUUCGGGAACUCUGAGACAGGUGCUGCAUGGCUGUCGUCAGCUCGUGUCGUGAGAUGUUGGGUUAAGUCCCGUAACGAGCGCAACCCUUGUCCUUAGUUGCCAGCGGUUCGGCCGGGCACUCUAGGGAGACUGCCGUGACAAACCGGAGGAAGUGGGACGACGUCAAGUCAUCAUGGCCCUUACGACCUGGGCUACACACGUGCUACAAUGGCCGGUACAGAGGGCUGCGAAACCGCGAGGUGGAGCGAAUCCUUUAAAACCGGUCGUAGUCCGGAUUGGAGUCUGCAACUCGAC
rnacentral:rRNA from 1 species